rnacentral:lncRNA from 1 species
AUUUAGACACAAUAGCUAAAAGUUCAGAUAGCUAUAUACCAAAGAUGAUUAAUGUCUAUUAUUGGGUGGUGGGAUGAUGGAGGAUUUUGUAUUGCCUCACCCACUCUCUAGCUAGAAGAAAACUAAAUUUAAUGGUGUCUUUGUCUUCAUUUUUACUGGGGAAGUAGGGUUGUAUCUGAGAGAUGGAGGCAGGGGGGCAUGGAGCAGAACAUUAGUCUUUGUAUAAUUGUCAUGAGUCUUCAUCUUUUUUACAUGGACAAUUUAUAAAGUUAUGUAAAAUGCUAUGCAAAAGGAGCUUCAAGUCCCCAUUUAUAAGGACAAUGAUAAUAGCCGGUUUGAAUGUACAUGCCUGUAGUAUACUAACUGGGGACUUCCCUGGUGGCUCAGUGGUCAAGAAUCCGCCUGCAGUGCAGGAGAUGCAAAUUCAGACCCUGGGUUGAGAAGAUUCCCUGGACAAGGAAAUGGCAACUCACUCCAGUAAUCUUGCCUGGAAAAUCCCAUGGACAGAAGAGCCUCAUGCGCUACAUUCCAUGAGUCACAAAGAGUCAGGACACAACUGAGUGACUAACCACACACUGUACUAACUGAUGUGUGUGUGUGUGAAGGCACACAAAUUAUAUAUUAAACUAACUUAGUCCUCUCAACGACAUUUUGAAGUAAGUAUUAUCAUUUUACAGAUGGGGAAAUCAAGGCUCACCUUCUUCCCUGUAAGGCCGUGCCACAUGAAAAUUCUGGAGCUCCACUGGGAGAGAUGUGGGAUGAAUUUGUCUUUUGUGAUGUGCUCUCUGGUCCGCUCAUUCCCUCAACCUUAAUCCCUUUCUCAACUUCUCUUUUGUACAACUGAGUUUUCUUCGACCAGGGCCAUUCCAAGUACAAAGUCACGCAAUAUUGGGCCUGCUGUUCCUACACCACCACGAGGUUAUAUUUCCAGAGAACCUGUUGCAACACAGCGUACAGAGACCACUGUCACUUUGGACUCACCAGGUUAUACUUCCAGAGAACCUGUUGCAACACAGCGUACAGAGACCACUGUCACUUGGGAUUCACCAGGUUAUACUUCCAGAGAACCUGUUGCAACACAGCGUACAGAGACCACUGUCACUUGGGAUUCACCAGGUUAUACUUCCAGAGAACCUGUUGCAACACAGCGUACAGAGACCACUGUCACUUGGGAUUCACCAGGUAAGUUACCAACCAAAGGAGAUGGGUAAUAGAUUUCCAGCCAUUAGCAUCAUAUCUGUGUAUUUAAUAAGCACCUAUCUGUGUGAUAUUCUAUGAUACAUGAGUCAAAUUAAAGCAACAACACUGAAAAGAAACAUUGCCAGGUUACCUCUGGCUCUUGGAAUUGGGGUAAUUUUUUUCUGCUAUUUCAGUUCAGUUCAGUUCAGUCAUUCAGUUGUGUCCAACUCUUUGCGACCCCAUGAAUUGCAGCACGCCAGGCCUCCCUGUCCAUCACCAACUCUUGGAGCC